GUAGCUAACGCGUUAAGCACUCCGCCUGGGGACUACGGUCGCAAGACUAAAACUCAAAGGAAUUGACGGGGACCCGCACAAGCGGUGGAGCAUGUGGUUUAAUUCGAUGCAACGCGAAAAACCUUACCACUCCUUGACAUGGAGAUUAGAUCCUUCUUAACGGAAGGGCGCAGUUCGGCUGGAUCUCGCACAGGUGCUGCAUGGCUGUCGUCAGCUCGUGUCGUGAGAUGUUGGGUUAAGUCCCGCAACGAGCGUAACCCUCAUCCUUAGUUGCCAGCGGGUUAAGCCGGGCACUUUAAGGAAACUGCCAGUGGUAAACUGGAGGAAGGUGGGGAUGAUGUCAAGUCAGCACGGCCCUUAUGGGGUGGGCUACACACGUGCUACAAUGGUGACUACAAUAGGUUGCAAUGUCGCAAGGCUGAGCUAAUCCGUAAAAGUCAUCUCAGUUCGGAUUGUCCUCUGCAACUCGAGGGCAUGAAGUCGGAAUCGCUAGUAAUCGUGGAUCAGCAUGCCACGGUGAAUACGUUCUCGGGUCUUGUACACACUGCCCGUCACGCCAUGGGAAUUGGCUUAACUCCAAGCUGGUGCGCUAACCGAAAGGAAGCAGCCAGCCAA
rnacentral:rRNA from 1 species